rnacentral:rRNA from 1 species
GCAGCAGUGGGGAAUAUUGCACAAUGGGCGAAAGCCUGAUGCAGCAACGCCGCGUGAGGGACGAAGGCCUUCGGGUUGUAAACCUCUUUUAGUAGGGAAGAAGCGAAAGUGACGGUACCUGCAGAAAAAGCACCGGCUAACUACGUGCCAGCAGCCGCGGUAAUACGUAGGGUGCAAGCGUUGUCCGGAAUUAUUGGGCGUAAAGAGCUCGUAGGCGGUUUGUCGCGUCUGCUGUGAAAACCCGAGGCUCAACCUCGGGCCUGCAGUGGGUACGGGCAGACUAGAGUGCGGUAGGGGAGAUUGGAAUUCCUGGUGUAGCGGUGGAAUGCGCAGAUAUCAGGAGGAACACCAAUGGCGAAGGCAGAUCUCUGGGCCGUAACUGACGCUGAGGAGCGAAAGCAUGGGGAGCGAACAGGAUUAGAUACCCUGGUAGUCCAUGCCGUAAACGUUGGGAACUAGAUGUGGGGACCAUUCCACGGUCUCCGUGUCGCAGCUAACGCAUUAAGUUCCCCGCCUGGGGAGUACGGCCGCAAGGCUAAAACUCAAAGGAAUUGACGGGGGCCCGCACAAGCGGCGGAGCAUGCGGAUUAAUUCGAUGCAACGCGAAGAACCUUACCAAGGCUUGACAUAUAGAGGAAACGGCUGGAAAC